UUUGUCAGAGAGAUGGCUGGUGGCAGAAUGCUGAGUGUCAUGGUAUCUUGAUGUGGCUGCAGCUUUUGUCUGGGUUUGGUGCUAAGCAUCCUUGAUACAAUACUGGGAAGCUUAGUACCCUAGUUCAGUAUCAACUUUCAGACAGAAGAGCAAGGGCUAGGCAAAUAGGCACUGUGAUAAAUUCUGAAUUCAAGAGAAAUAUUCAAGUCAUGAGAAUGUCAUUCAUAAUGGAGAAGAUUAAAUCAACAUUUUGCACCCCAUAAGUGUUACUAAUUCCUUAAUGUGACUUCAGCCAUGGCAUAGAAGAAUGAAGAGAGAUUGAA